GAACAAUAGAAUGGUAGAUAGACAGACAGCAAUAGAUGGAUAGUAUGAUUGAUAGAUGGAUGGAUAGAACAAUAGAACGAUAGAAUGGUA